UUCCUGGUGGUCCAGUGACUAAGACUUUGCACUUCUAAUGCAAGGGGUCCAGGUUGGAUCCCUGGUCCUGGAA
rnacentral:tRNA from 1 species